CAGGAGAACUAGAUUAUGGGGGAGAAAAUUUUAGUUUUCUCGUUUUUUAAUUAUAGGGGAGUGAGAGAUAAAACAAUGUUGUUGUUUUUUGUUUUGGUUUUAUGUUUAUUUCUAACUCUUGAACUUGCAUGUUUUGAACCUUCAUUUUAAUGCACGUAUUAUUCAGGAUAUAUGUGUUCGAAUGUGUGUGGUUGUUUGAGCGGAUCUGUGCAGGUACUUGAGAGGCAUCCAAAGCUAAAAGGGGGAGAUUGUAGGUGCAAAGAUCAGAUGGAUGUUCUGAUAUAGACGCAAGUACAACAGCGAAUGGAGCAGAGUCUGCAACAGAGAAGUGUACAUGCGGAUGAACAAGUCAAGAUGAAGAUUACGACUUGAAGAAUGGAUUGCAGACCAAGGCGAAGUUAAUGCGAAGACAUCUUGGGGAGCAAGCUUGAAGAGAUUCACCUUAGAGAAGGGAGAUCUCACGAUGGGAAGUUUCUUAAAGACUUUGGAGAGGUUUAAGGGAACUUACCAUAUUUAGGUAGAUAGUGAAUAUUGGGUAGAUAGGCGUGGAUAGUCGACUUGGCUGUAUUGUAUAUAUAGUCAUACUCGACCUGUGGAUUAGGGUCGUUGAGAGAAUUGUAUUCUUAGCAUAAGAGUGGAGUUUACUAAGCUUGUAAGCAAGUGGAGUUCACUAAGCUUGUAAGCGAGUGAAUAACACUAACGGCUAAGGGGUAGAUGUUCUAGAGAUCUUGUAUUCGAUCUUAGGAUGUAUGAGGUUAGGGGAGCAAGUCAAGAAGGGUCUUGAUCUUGUUUGAGUUUUGUUUAAAGAGAGACUUGUAAGUUCACUUUAAAAGAAUAUUAGUAAUAACACAUAUCUUUGUAGAGAUAUUCUCUGGUGUACUCUGUGUUUUACUUUGUGGGUUAGUUCUUGCAUUUACAUAAGAAGGAUAGUAUGAUGGUAAGAGAUUGCAUAGGUUAUUUGUGGAUUUAGAGUAGAGAAUUUGAGAGCCAUUUAAGUGAAGAAUGUCAUAUAUAUAGAGUUAAGGAGUGGCCGGACAUCAUUCGGUUACUGUCUUGAAUGCGGCCAUGAUUGAUCUGGAGAGGUAGAGGAAGUGGGUCCACCUUAGGGAUGAAAUGGUUGGAUGUUUGAAAAAUGACUUAAUGGGCCAGGACGAAGAGAGCCACGAGAAAGUCAACCACGUGAAAAUUGAGUAUGACUUAGGCUUGUUAAUCUAUUGGGCCUAAAUAAUUUGAUAUUUUGCUUCUGUAUUUAGUUUGGUGGUCCAAAAUGGUAAUGAACAAUAUGUUUGUAGUUAGGCCACAAAAAUUUACAUAGAAAAGAAAAAUAUUUGGGGAAGAGUAUUAUUGAAAAAAAAUUGAAUUCGAUGUCAAUUUAUCUAUAAUAAUAAAGUUGGCUUAUCUGCCCUCUCAGACGUCCACGUCAUCAGUCACAUAGGGGAGUUUUGCGACACGUCAGCGGUUUCCUCUUGCAUAGUCUCUUUCUUCAGUAAAUGAUUAAACGUCUUGGGCUUGUUGAAUUUAAAAUCAACAUUUGUUUUUUGUUGGGUUUCUUCGUUGUCGUCGCAAGCCGUAACUCUCCUCAUAUUGUCUUCCAUCAGUUCCUUCUACAGAGUGACUUAGCAUUGAUGGCAUUCAAUUAAUUCACCCACUUUCUCGUCAUCAAUACAUGUUUUUCUCCUCCCAUCAAUCGAAUUGGAUAUAUAUAUAUAAGCUCUGUUCUUUUGAUUAACGCAGCUUCUCGCGUCAGCGACUCCAAAUCUUACGGUGGCUGCUUCGUGUGAAACGACGCGGACAAUGGUGAUAACAUAAAAAGUGUUGCCGUAACAGUAAAAAAUAGUCGCCGCGUGAGUCGUAACUGAUUUCAUCGAAGUUGAGUAAGAGUCACUCAGUCGGCCUAGUGAAAAUAGCCCUAGAAAGAUCAAGGUGCGGAAUAGAAUUUUUAGCGAUCAAUUAUCAGCCCAAAAAUAACGCUGCGUCUCUUAUAAUUAACAUAGGCAAAGUGGUUUUUCAGCAAUCUUGCUUUUAAAGUAACGGAAAUACAGAGCGAAAAAUAGACGCAGACGCUAACACAGCGUUUAUCAAAAGAACAUGACUAUAGUCUCUAGGGCCUCAGGAGAAAUCUCAAACGUCUUACGAAUCAUAUUCUUGCUACAACCCUAGAAGUAGAAGUUCUUAGAAUGGUGAUUACUCAGCUCCACUUGAUUUGAAGGCUGGUCGUCUCGAGGACAGAGUUGUCACAAGUCUCCUUCGUUUUUGGGAGGCUAGGAAUGUUAAGAAAUCUGGGGAACUUAUGAGUGUGGAUUUCAUGUUCCUCAAUGAGAAGUGCCGUCGACAUUCCAAGAUUACGGGGAAGAAAGUCACAAUUGGUCUUAUCUCUGCAACCUCUCUGAACGAACACUACUCUUUCCAGCGAUGGCGUUAAAACCUAGGUUAGAUCUUGAGCUUGACGAGAUUCAUUUCUUGGACGCAAUUCCUAUAAUUUUGAGUUUGGUGAUUUUAAUUAUAAACAGCUCCAGUUAUGGGAGAAAUUGUGAAAGUGCAUCGAUUUAGUAUUGUUUCGUGUUGUUUAUAUGCCUUGCCUACACCGACAGUAAAGCACGUGAUUAAUACACACCUUCUGGUGGCAAUAUCUAUCUUUUAGAUUUCUCUUUUGUAGGCUGCAUUAACUCUGCAAACUCAUACUUGGUGUGAGGCGGGAAGCUCGCAAGGUGUGAAGCGUGAAAGUGAAACUGAAACUGAUGCCUGACUCAGAGAACCGGCUUCUCUUCGGUUUCUUUUUUUUCUAUCAUAUAUAUGGCUUAACAAUCUUAUGCUUUUAGAAAAGGUUUGGAGGAAAAUCCAUGGUUACAGGAGAAAUAUAGAGCCACCACUGCGACGACAUUUAAAACAAUUGGAGGCAAUGCAGGUUAAUAAAACAAGUUUCGGUUUUGAUUUGUCUCUCCACAUUAAUUUUUGGAAGCUACAAUUUUUCUACUUUGUCCCAGAGAAGAUUACUGGUUAGUAGUCCCGGUCACUGGUGAGGUAACAAUGGUGUAGAAAUCUCGAGAGUUCUUUUGUGGGUUCAAAAAGAAAACAUGGCAACGGUGGUGAAACACAUCUCGAUGAGCUUAGCAAUGGAGACACGGGAAAACAGCUAUGGUUUCAAGAGGAGAGUUCACGUUUCAAGAUAUUCACGGUGCAGAGGCAUUGCUGAAUGAAGAAGAUGAGGACGGCUAUAGUUGUGAUUGGGAACCUGUGCAUCAGAAGAUGCCAGUUGAGUUUGUGAAAUGGUGUUGCUUCAGUUGCACCAUGGCAAAUCCUGGUGAUAUGGUUCAUUGUUAUGUAUAUUUUGCUUACUUUUUCAUGUUUGAAUACUUUUGUUUCUGAUCUUAUCAUUACCAGUAUCUGCAAUUAUUUGUCUGAGACAUGGAUAUUUUGCAUCUCUGUUAUUUAAAAGACACUUGUCUCUCACCGAAGUCGAAGAGAAAUGCGGAGGUAAGAUUUUGCUUCUUUUCGAACAUGUCGUUAAGAUAUAUUGCUAUUUCGUUCCACAUUACCUAACUUCAAGUAACACUAAGCGUGCUCACGUCUCUUUUAUCUUGAUCUUAGGAAAUUCAUCUGCAACUAGCUCGACAGCUAUUGGUUUCGAGGAGAUAAUGUUGUUGCACUCAGAAGUAUGAUUUUAUUACUGUUACAGUUUCGUGAGAUAUCUGUUGACGUCAAUACAAUUUAUUUAUCUCCAAUGCUUUUCUUCGUGCAAUUAUUUCGCAAGAGCUCCAGAUGGUGAGCUGCUACUUAAUUUCCUUAGAGACAUAUCUACCUGCGAGUAGUUUGUUUAUUUCCUUACUUUUACAAACAAGUCGUUAACUGAUUUUUUUCUUUCAAUUUUAAGGUCUACACUUCAGAGCAUGUUAAUAUCACAAGCCAGCUUCUCUAUAGGUUUGAAUUUACCUGUAAUGUUUCAGGGUUCAGCAUGCAAAACAUGAUUUGUUUGUGUUAUUUUGUCUUUCACUGCUCAUAAUUUUCCUAUUGUUUGCCAGCUACUUCACUGCCGACACAUACUAAUAAGUAUUCAGCACCUGCUGCUAGAAUAGCAGCACGUCUGUGUGCUGAUCUAGCUAAAGAAAUGUUCUCAUGAUACAAUGUUAAUCAGCCGGGAACUUAGAAGCUCAUUAUGUUUAAGCUCAGUUUGGGUGACCCUGACAUGAACUGCUCACAAGUUCGACAAAGUAUGGCGGUGUUCAGAAAAUUUAAACUAUGACGGUCUCUGAGCUAAACGCUUAUGUCCUCCAUUGUUCCCCGCAUGUGCAUUCCGUUCCUGGUCCAUUCUGCUAAAUGUUAUCACAAGUAUUAUAUUAUUAACGUUUGUAGCCUCAAUGCACUACAGACUACUCUUCACCAGCAAAGUAGAGGCCAUUGAAACAACCAAUGGGUGGUGCUAUAUUUCUUGCUCCAAAUAUUCUAGGAAGCUUCAGCGUGGUUUUUCAUUGUUCACCUGUAACUCAUGCAAUGACUGUAAGGCUAUUUAUUCUUUCAUUUUGGCUUCUCGUGCCUAUUUCUUGGAAAGGUUCGGUAUUUGAUGAAAUAACAACUUAUGUUGAUUUACCUAAAUAUUUUUUCUUCUGAAUCUUAUCUAAAGACAACCAAAAUGGAAAUAACAAACUGAGCUUAACUUCUGCAACAACUACAAUAUACAUAUUACAUACAUGUAAUAUUACGUCUACAUCUUCAGUUGAUUAUUUUGUUCUGGUGCUUAUCUUUUUCCAGUUUACAGUUUAAGGGUUCGAUAGAUAAAUGUUUGGUUUAUCUCACUUGAUCAACUCCUCCGCAACUAAAGUCAUUGUCGAGUUCUACAAGUAAUAAACCCGUUUCUAAUAUUACAGAGGUAUAAGAGCAACUAUUACAUGUCACCGCUACAAUAUAGUUGACCGGUCCGGCACAUGCUACUAUUACAAGCUACCAAAAUUAUUUUCAUCAUUUGACGAAUAUUUGUCCACCUAUCUAUUACCAUAUUAAAUAAAACCAAUCCAACUUCUAUUGUUUAACAAUUAGGCAACCAGAUUCAACCAAAACAAACCCAACAAAAGUUAUGUAUCUUUUUUUUUUUUCCUCAACUGAUUAUAUUAUCAAACGAUGAAACAUACAUGACCAACGGACGAAGAUAUGCCGUGGUUAGCUAAUCCGACAGACAACACAAUGUCUCCGGAAACUAGAACACAUAAA